GCAUGGCCAAUUGGCCAUGCUGGCAGGGGCUGAUGGGAAUUGUACUCCUGCCCUCCCGAGGGUCUGCAGGGAGGCUGGGAGAGAAGGAGCUGGCCUCCAUGGAUGUGGCAGGCGGUGGUGCCCCACCCUCCCAAGCUCCCUGCAGUCCAGCUCCUGUCCUAUCCUGUGUCUCCAGGGAUGCGGGGGGGCUCUAUGACAGAUGGUGGUGGCACCCUGCCCUCCCAGGCUCCCUACAGCCCAGCUCCUGCCCUCCCCAGGGCCUGGAGAGAGCAGGGGCCAGCCUUCAGGGAUGCGGAGGCCAGGGAUGGGGCCACGCCCCAAGGCCCUCCCUGAGUGCGGGGGUAGGGGGGCCAGAGAAGGAGUUGUCUCUGGGUGCCAUUUCCCCCUAAUACACCUCUGCCUCUAAGGGAGGGGUGCCCAGCUCUGGCCCUCCAGAUGUCCAAGGGCUGAUGGGAAUUAUUGUCCAUGAACAUCUGGAGGGCCAGAGUUGGACACCCCUGCUCUAAGGCCUUUCUAAAUGGCAGUUUGUUUCUUGCAUGAAAAUGGAUUGUGUUGCAAAAGUAGCAUAAUCUUUCUAGAGAAUGGUCAGUCAGCUAAAUAAAUCCUGGUCCAGGGGGUGAAAACUUUUAGUGCACUCCUCUGUUCAUCCCUCAGCCCCCCCCCCCCCCCCCCCCCAAAUACACAGAACUGAGCAAA